rnacentral:rRNA from 1 species
GAUGAACGCUGGCGGUGUGCCUAACACAUGCAAGUCGAGCGAACGCACGAUAAGCGUGUGUUCCUGCUGGUAGCGGCUGACGGGCGGGUAAGAAGUGGAUAACCUACUUAUAAUACUGGGAUGAUUUCGGGAAACCGGUUCUACUACUGCAUCAUAUUUCCUACCGGUUAGUUCAAAAGUUCUUCACGGUCUUCCUGUCUCUUAUAGAUGAUUCCGCGCUGCAUUAGCUAGUUGGUAAGGUAACGGCUUACCAAGGCGACGAUGCGUAGCUGACCUGAGAGGAUGAUCGGCCACACUGGAACUGAGACACGGUCCAGACUCCUACGGGAGGCAGCAGUGGGGAAUAUUCGACAAUGGGCGCAAGCCUGAUGGAGCAAUGCCGCGUGAGUGAUGAAGGCCUUCGGGUUGUAAAGCUCUGUUGUUGGGAAAGAACAUCUGUAUGUGAAUCUGUCGAUGUCCUGACGGUACCUAAACAGUAAGCAACGGCUAACUUCGUG